UGGGGAAUAUUGGACAAUGGGCGCAAGCCUGAUCCAGCCAUGUCGCGUGAGUGAUGAAGGCCCUAGGGUUGUAAAGCUCUUUCACCGGUGAAGAUAAUGACGGUAACCGGAGAAGAAGCCCCGGCUAACUUCGUGCCAGCAGCCGCGGUAAUACGAAGGGGGCUAGCGUUGUUCGGAUUUACUGGGCGUAAAGCGCACGUAGGCGGACUAUUAAGUCAGGGGUGAAAUCCCGGGGCUCAACCCCGGAACUGCCUUUGAUACUGGUAGUCUUGAGUUCGAGAGAGGUGAGUGGAAUUCCGAGUGUAGAGGUGAAAUUCGUAGAUAUUCGGAGGAACACCAGUGGCGAAGGCGGCUCACUGGCUCGAUACUGACGCUGGGGUGCGAGAGCGUGGGGAGCAAACAGG
rnacentral:rRNA from 1 species